UACGUAGGGGGCAAGCGUUGUCCGGAAUCAUUGGGCGUAAAGCGCGUGUAGGCGGUCCGGUAAGUCGGCUGUGAAAGUCCAGGGCUCAACCCUGGGAUGCCGGUCGAUACUGCCGGACUAGAGUUCGGAAGAGGCGAGUGGAAUUCCUGGUGUAGCGGUGGAAUGCGCAGAUAUCAAGAGGAACACCAAUAGCGAAGGCAGCUCGCUGGGACGUUACUGACACUGAGGCGCGAAAGCGUGGGGAGCGAACAGG
rnacentral:rRNA from 1 species